AUUGAACGCUGGCGGCAUGCUUUACACAUGCAAGUCGAACGGUAACAGGUCUCCGGAUGCUGACGAGUGGCGAACGGGUGAGUAAUACAUCGGAACGUGCCUAGUAGUGGGGGAUAACUACUCGAAAGAGUAGCUAAUACCGCAUGAGAUCUACGGAUAAAAGCAGGGGACCUUCGGGCCUUGUGCUACUAGAUCGGCUGAUGGCAGAUUAGGUAGUUGGGGGGGAAAAGGCUUACCAAGCCUGCGAUCUGUAGCUGGUCUGAGAGGACGACCAGCCACACUGGGACUGAGACACGGCCCAGACUCCUACGGGAGGCAGCAGUGGGGAAUUUUGGACAAUGGGCGAAAGCCUGAUCCAGCAAUGCCGCGUGCAGGAUGAAGGCCCUCGGGUUGUAAACUGCUUUUGUACGGAACGAAAAGCCUGGGGCUAAUAUCCCCGGGUCAUGACGGUACCGUAAGAAUAAGCACCGGCUAACUACGUGCCAGCAGCCGCCGUAA
rnacentral:rRNA from 1 species